rnacentral:rRNA from 1 species
UACGGGGGGGGUAAGCGUUGUUCGGAAUUACUGGGCGUAAAGGGCUCGUAGGCGGCCAACUAAGUCGGACGUGAAAUCCCUCAGCUUAACUGGGGAACUGCGUCCGAUACUGGAUGGCUUGGAUUUGGGAGAGGGAUGCGGAAUUCCCGGUGUAGUGGUGAAAUGCGUAGAUAUCGGGAGGAACACCAGUGGCGAAGGCGGCUACCUGGCCCAUUCUUGACGCUGAGGCGCGAAAGCUAGGGGAGCAAACGGG